UACGUAGGGGGCGAGCGUUAUUCGGAAUUAUUGGGCGUAAAGGGCGCGUAGGCGGCUGUACAAGUCAAAGGUGAAAUCCCUCGGCUCAACUGAGGAACUGCCUUUGAAACUGUACGGCUUGAGGCCGGGAGGGGGUAGCGGAAUUCCCAGUGUAGCGGUGAAAUUCGUAGAUAUUCGCAAGAACACCAGUGGCGAAGGCGGCUCACUGGCCCGAUACUGACGCUGAGGCACGAAAGCGUGGGGAGCAAACAGG
rnacentral:rRNA from 1 species